rnacentral:rRNA from 1 species
CGAACGCUGGCGGCGUGGCUAAGGCAUGCAAGGUCGUACGGGGCUGGAUCGGUAGCAAUAUCGGUUCAGUUCAGUGGCGGACGGGUGAGUAAUACAUAGGUAACGUGCCUUGUGCUCGGGGAUACCGUCGGGCCCGCAAGGGUCCUUUGCGAAAGUGACGUUAAUACCUGAUGACGUCUUUGGGUCGCAUGGCUCGAAGACCAAAGGUGGGGACCGUAAGGCCUACCGGCACGAGAUCGGCCUAUGCCCUAUCAGCUUGUUGGUGAGGUAACGGCUUACCAAGGCUCUGACGGGUAGCCGGCGUGAGAGCGCGACCGGCCACAUCGGGACUGAGACACUGCCCGGACACCUACGGGUGGCUGCAGCAACGAAUAUUCCGCAAUGGGCGCAAGCCUGACGGAGCGACGCCGCGUGGAGGAUGAAGUCCUUCGGGAUGUAAACUCCAAUAGUUUGCCAGGAAGCAACCUGGCCUAAUACGUCGGGAAGUUGACCAGCAGACGAAAGGGGCGGCUAACUCCGUG